AGAAUCAGCGUGGGGACUGAAUGAACAAAGAGAUGUGGUUCAGUCUUCCAAGUUCAUUAAAGUCCACGUAAAGGAACAGUGCAUGCUGUGGACGGGCCACAGGUGCUCUGCGUGGAAGAGUGAAGUGUGGGAGCACCGAGCUCGAGUGUCUGUGGCCGUGAGAGGUGGUCCAUCGCUGACCUGCUCUUUCCUGCUACUCCCAGAGGAUGCUGCAGUAUGUGGUACCUAGGUCUCCGAAAGAGUCCUGACCCUGAAGUGGGGAGGAGAGAAAAAUCAAAGAGCCCUGGCGAGGGAGCAAGGGGAUGAAAGAGAUGAGACAGAGAUUUGGGGGAGACACCCGGAAACAGACUGAAAAAAAAUCCAAAACAAACAAACAAAAACAAAACCCAGAACAUCUACCUGGAAAGAAAUAAAACAUUAAAACAAGAGACAGUAAUGCUAAAUGAAGCAAGAAGAAAGACUAUCAAAGACAGGUUUGCGUUAGAACUCCACGCAGGAAGCCCGGCAGGGAGGGGUAGAGAGGACAGGCGACACACCUGCGAGCCUCUUGGGGCUCGGCGGGAGCCGGAUGAGCCUGGCUCUCUCGCUCGCUCGCUCGCUCGCUCUACCCCAAACCUCGCUCAGACGAAGAGCGCCAAUCGCCGCCCCAGUCCACCGCGCUGCGGGGCGCAGGGAAGGCCGGCCGAAGGCUUGAACCCUCGGCCGGCUGCGUGGAGUCCCGCGAUGUCCCGGCGAUGACAGGGUGGCUUGGCCCCAGGAAAAAGACGCGGGGCCGGGAGCGCCGCCACUCCCGCGCUUUCGUCUCCAGCGGCCCGGUUCUCCCGGACGCUGCGCCCCCCGCGGCGGGUCCGUCCGCACCCCAAGACUAGGGCUGGGCGAGCGGAUCCCGGGACUGGCUCUGCGAGCUUGCCCGGGGUCCGAAAUCGCCGACAGCGUCCCGGGCCCGGCAGGUCGAUCUCCGGCCGCGCGGAGAGAUCUGGCCCGCAGGCGAGCAACCAGGACUGUAGUGUUGGGUCAUUUCAUUUUCCUCGAACCCCGAGCAACUCUUCGGGCCCUCCGGGUCUUUGCUGCGCCCGCGGCGGGCUCGUGGCCACUCUCCCAGGGUCUGGGCAGAGGUUCCCGCAGCCCUGCCCGGAAGAAAGCAAUGAAUAAAUGCGGCUCGCGGGCUAGUUCACGGAAGACCAAGCCUAAGCUGAUGGGUCAGUGGACCUGUUCCCAGAAAGUUCUGGACCUCGUCAAAACGGCGGAUGUUAGCGCGGGUGGGUGUGGGUCACCCCUUGCUGCUGCUGGGAGCUCAGGGGGACCCAAGGGCGCCGGGCAGGUGACUGGGUGGGAAAGGCACGGACUGGCGCGCUGGGUGGCUCAGACCCUUUCCUAAGGGGACAAAACGGAGGGAGAAAGCGGCUUCCAGGGAUGGUGGCAGAAGACUCCAGAGCCUGCUGGCUGAGCUCUUUUCACUCGCUCAGGAAUGUAGUGUGGCUUUUCCGUUCGGUAUAGCUGGCGUGUGUAGGGUUGGGUGAAUUGACUGUCCCUUCCUUGCCACCCCUCCUCCCGAUCUGUACCCCGCUUCUGAACUGGUCAACUUCUCCCAGAGAAAUAGAUACACGGCAUUCUCUCUCUCUCUCUCUCUCUCUCUCUCUCUCUCUCUCUCUAAAUGAUAUGAAACAAAACAAUUCACAGUACACUGAAAUAGCCUGACAUAAAAAGAUAUCUCUGCCUGAGCUAUCUCUUAGAAUUGACACUCUCUCUAAAAAAAAAAAAAAAAAAAAAAAAAAAAAAAAAAAAUGAGAGGGUAUUUUUGUUUGUCUUCAGAGCUGUGCUGGGGCAGACUUGCUAGGCAAGCACUCUGCAUGUGAGCCACAGGCCCAACCCAGCCUGAUGUACCUUCUACUUGAAAUUGAGUUACUUUUUAUGUUCACCACCAGCAGCAGCAAGAAUACUAUGUUGACAGUUUUGCUUGUUGCUUUGGCUAGCCUUGAACUCACAGCAAUCCUCCUGGCUCAAUAAUUUGUAUUUCUUAAUAAUUUGUAGUUUCUUUCCUCCUCNNNNNNNNNNNNNNNNNNNNNNNNNAUAAUGUCCAUAUAGCCCAGGCAUGCCUCAAAUUCCUUAUAUAGUCAUGAUGGUUAACCUUCAACUUUUCAUCCUCCUGCCUCUACCUUCCGAAUGCUGGAAUUACAGGAACAGGGCACUGUGUUUAGCUCUAUGCUUUUAUUUUUAAUAGUCAAAAUAAAAUAUAUAAGUGUAAUUAAAUUCAUUCAGAUCCCUGUCCAGGAACAGAUGAAACAAUAAACUGGGACGUGUAGAGCAGAUGUGGUGGUGUAUGCUUGCACUGGAGAGGCAGGCACAGGAAGGUAGUUAACAAAUUUGAGGACAGCCUGCUUUAAAUAGCACAUUCUAGGCUUAAAGGACAUAGGGAGAUCUUGUCUUAAAUAAACAAAAUAAAUAAAAGUUUGGAAAAUAACUUAAAUGCUGAAAUAAAUAAACAAGAUGUUGUUCAGUAAA
ensembl:lincRNA AI849053 expressed sequence AI849053